GUCUCUGUAGCACAAUGAAUAGCGCGUUGGACUUCUAAUCCAAAGGUCGUGUUUUCAGUUACAACCUGGGAUG